UUAGAACUGGGCGCCUUAGAUAACCGGAACAGAGAUGAGGAUACAUAUGUGACUGCUUGUUCUACUCUCCAUGGCUCAUAUCAUGGAGCAAAAACAUGAUUACAAAAAUGUGCUGUAUGAUUAUUUGAAAAUUCAAUUUGGGAUUUUUAAUGAAUAAAUGAGAAAACUAAGUGUAGCCUUAACUUGUAUCAUUUUGAAGUAGUGUUUAAGAAACAGAAAUGUCUACCAUUUUUGGCUGACAAGCAAUUCUACAUGUUUUGGUUGAAAAGGUUGUGUUUAUUGCGAUGUCCA
rnacentral:lncRNA from 1 species